UAGUGUGUCGAUGAAGAGCGCAGCAAACUGUGUGAAUUAAUGUGAACUGCAUCCUGCCAUGAACAUCGACAUCUUGAUUGCACAUUGCGGCCAUGGGUUAGCCUGUGGCCACGCCUGUCCGAGAGUCGGCUUACAAACUAUCACGACGCUCAAUUGGUCGUGGCUUGAGAGUCUGCCAGCUGACGUGGUUCCCUACGCGCUACGGCGCACGAGGGUGUCAGAACAAUGGCUUCUCUCCAAUUAACCAGUAAGCACCCUUUUGCGGUUGUGUGGAMGAAUUCGUGGCUCAGUGUACAAUUUAUAGCACGCGUCGUUCAUACUCCUGUAGACUGGUGUCUGGUUUCUUUUUUAAUAAGCAUGUCAUUAUGACUUGCUAUUCCUGACCUCGGAUCAGACGUGAAUACCCGCUGAACUUAAGCAUAUCACUAAGCGGAGG
rnacentral:rRNA from 1 species